ensembl:lncRNA
CGCCCAGCCAGACAGCGCCCCGGUUACAGUACGCCCAGCCAGACAGCGCCCCAGGAACAGAUGACAGUGCUCCAAAUAUCAAUAUUGAAAUCACCAGGGACACUUCUUCUGUGGUUAAAGGUGACAGUUUGGAUUACCAGUGUCUUCUUCAGUGGUAAGCUAAAGGUGACGGUUUGAAUAAGACUGUUCUGUUUUGGAUGUUUUAAAUCAAAUGCCACCACUUUGCUUCUGCACUUUUCCCUGUGUGACAGCCUGUCCUACACGGCCUGUCCUACACAGCCUGUGUGACACAGCCUGUCCUACAGGUCUUAAUUGUCUUGGGUGAGCUAUAUUGGGCCUUCUUUUUAAAGCCCAAAGCCCAGUCUUGACCCUGACCCACAGCUUUGCAUAACAUUCUUAAAUCUGUUGACAUACAGGUAGGUGUGUGUGUGUGUGUAUUAGUGGACAGUAUACACUGAGUGUACAAAACAUUAAGAAAACCUUCCCAAUAUUGAGUUGGACCUCCUUUUGCCCCCAGAACAGCCUCAAUUUGUUACGGGGUCUGGACUCGACAAAGGUGUCUAACGCGUUCCACAGGGAUGCCGAACCAUGUUGACUCCACUGCUUCCCACAGUCGUGUCAAGUAGGCUGGAUGUCCAUUCUUGAUCCACAGGGGAAACUGUUGAGCAUGAAAAACCCAGCAGCGUUGCAGUUCUUGACACACACCGGUGCCCCUGGUACCUACUACCAUACUUCGUUCAAAGGCAUUUAAAUAUUUUGUCCUGCCCAUUCACCCUCGGAACGUCACACAUACACAAUCCAUGUCUCAAUUGUCUAGAGGAUUAAAAAUCCUUCUUUAACAUGACUCCUCCCCUUCAUCUAUACUGAUUGAAGUGGAUUUAACAGGUGACAUCAAUAAGGGGUCAUAGCUUUCACCUGGAUUCACCUGGUCAGUCUGUCCUGAUAAGAACAGGUUUUCUUAAUGUUUUGUCCACUCACUGUAUAGAUGUGCUAUAUUCAAAGCAGGUUGUAGAUUAGCCUAUAGGGGCUCGGUCUCUCCUACACAUGUUCCAAACAUCCGCUUUAUUUAACCAUGUGACCUCCAUCAUACUGUUAGACAUUACAUGGUUGGUUAGCAGGUUUUAGUUUAAAACACUACACACAACAAACCCUGGAACAGAUCCAUUCAAAUCCUCCCUCUGUGUCACAAAUGGCAUCCUUUCCCCUGUAUAGUGCACUACUUAAGGGAUAGGGUUCAACCCAUAGGGCUCUGGUCAAAUGAAGUUUACAAUAUAGGGUUCAACCCAUAGGGCUCUGGUCAAAUGAAGUGCACUAUAUAGGGCUCUGGUCAAAUGAAGUGCACUAUAUAGGGUUCAACCCAUAGGGCUCUGGUCAAAUGAAGUGUACUAUAUAUGGUUCAACCCAUAGGGCUCUGGUCAAAUGAAGUGUACUAUAUAUGGUUCAACCCAUAGGGCUCUGAUCAAAUGAAGUGUACUAUAUAGGGCUCUGGUCAAAUGAAGUGCACUAUAUAGGGCUCUGGUCAAAUGAAGUGCACUAUAUAGGGCUCAACCCAUAGGGUUCUGGUCAAAUGAAGUGCACUAUAUAGGGUUCUGGUCAAAUGAAGUGCACUAUAUAGGGCUCAACCCAUAGGGCUCUGGUCAAAUGAAGUGCACUAUAUAGGGCUCUGGUCAAAUGAAGUGCACUAUAUAGGGUUCAACCCAUAGGGCUCUGGUCAAAUGAAGUGUACUAUAUAGGGCUCAACCCAUAGGGCUCUGGUCAAAUGAUGUGCACUAUAUAGGGCUCUGGUCAAAUGAAGUGUACUAUAUAGGGCUCUGGUCAAAUGAAGUGUACUAUAUAGGGCUCAACCCAUAGGGCUCUGGUCAAAUGAAGUGCACUAUAUAGGGCUCUGGUCAAAUGAAGUGUACUAUAUAGGGCUCUGGUCAAAUGAAGUGCACUAUAUAGGGCUCAACCCAUAGGACUCUGGUCAAAUGAAGUGCACUAUAUAGGGCUCUGGUCAAAUUAAGUGUACUAUAUAGGGUUCAACCCAUAGGGCCCUGGUCAAAUGAAGUGUACUAUAUAGGGCUCAACCCAUAGGGCCCUGGUCAAAUGAAGUGUACUAUAUAGGGUUCAACCCAUAGGGCUCUGGUCAAAUGAAGUGUACUAUAUAGGGCUCUGGUCAAAUGAAGUGUACUUUAUAGGGCUCAACCCAUAGGGCUCUGGUCAAAUGAAGGGCACUAUAUAGGGGAUAGGGUACCAUUUGGGAUGUAAAUUAGGUAUACUUUUGACAUGUUGCUAUUAGCAACAACUCCACUGAUGUACAGUCCAUGUAUGGUCAGAUCUUUAGAGUUAGAGCAGGAAACCUACUUAGAGGCUACUUGUCCCCUUCAUAAGCAAUACUUAAGGGCCUACGUCAUCCCUGUGGAGGAUCCAAAGCCCAAGCCCAGAUUAACGGGUCUGUAUGGGUCGGAUCGUUUCAAAUACUUGCUGGAAGGGCGUGGGGUUGUUGUGAUUGGGUCAGUACAUGUCAUAUUGGACAAGACUCAAGAUGAUGCUUUUACCUAUGAAGCCCUCAUGCACUGCUUAUGAAGGUGCUAUACACUGCUUAUGAAGGUGCUAUACACUGCUUAUGAAGGUGCUAUACACUGCUUAUGAAGGUGCUAUACACUGCUUAUGAAGGUGCUAUACACUGCUUAUGAAGGUGCUAUACACUGCUUAUAUUACCACCAACGAUAAUAACAUCAUCCUCAGUCUUUCAUCAAUAUUUACAAACUCGUGAUCUGUUAAAUAAUGUCAAUAACAACAACACAGUAAAACCAAAAACACAGACUAAAUUCAAAACAUCAGCCGCUCAGUAAAAAAAGCACUUCGUAAAAAUCUGAGAAACUAAAUUAAAAUUCAUCCCCAGUCUGAUUCUGACAAACACAAAGUUAAACACAUCAGUGUCCUUCAAUCCCAGUCCUGGAAACACACAGGGUGUGCAGGGUUUUGUGCCAGCCUAACACACCUCAAUCAACUUAUCAAAAGGGCUUGAUGAUUGGACGAUUGAUGGAACCAGGAUGAAAGAAAAGUGAAAUAAACAAUAUCUUGAUAUACAUUUCAACAUAUGAAUCAUCUCUAUUGACGAGAAGAGAAGGUAUAUGGAGAUGCAAAUGAAAUGAAGAUUGACUGGUCCACCGUUCACUAUCCUGACCAGGGUUCUGAUCACUUCCCCCACAUAGAUGCUGCUUUCACUGGGGGUGUCUGUUCUCUGGUCCAG